rnacentral:rRNA from 1 species
GAUGAACGCUGGCGGCGUGCCUAAUACAUGCAAGUCGAGCGAACGGACGAGAAGCUUGCUUCUCUGAUGUUAGCGGCGGACGGGUGAGUAACACGUGGAUAACCUACCUAUAAGACUGGGAUAACUUCGGGAAACCGGAGCUAAUACCGGAUAAUAUUUUGAACCGCAUGGUUCAAAAGUGAAAGACGGUCUUGCUGUCACUUAUAGAUGGAUCCGCGCUGCAUUAGCUAGUUGGUAAGGUAACGGCUUACCAAGGCAACGAUGCAUAGCCGACCUGAGAGGGUGAUCAGCCACACUGGAACUGAGACACGGUCCAGACUCCUACGGGAGGCAGCAGUAGGGAAUCUUCCGCAAUGGGCGAAAGCCUGACGGAGCAACGCCGCGUGAGUGAUGAAGGUCUUCGGAUCGUAAAACGCUGUUAUUAGGGAAGAACAUAUGUGUAAGUAACUGUGCACAACUUGACGGUACCUAAUCAGAAAGCCACGGCUAACUACGUG